GAUGAACGCUGGCGGCGUGCUUAACACAUGCAAGUCGAACGGAAAGGCUCCUGCUUGCAGGGGUACUCGAGUGGCGAACGGGUGAGUAACACGUGGGUGAUUGGCCCGGCACUUCGGGAUAAGCCUGGGAACCUGGGUCUAAUACCGGAUAGGACCACAUUUGGGUGGGUGUGGUGGAAAGUUUUUCGGUGUGGGAUGAGUUCGCGGCCUAUCAGCUUGUUGGUGGGGUAAUGGCCUACCAAGGCGUCGACGGGUAGCCGGCCUGAGAGGGUGUACGGCCACAUUGGGACUGAGAUACGGCCCAGACUCCUACGGGAGGCAGCAGUGGGGAAUAUUGCACAAUGGGCGCAAGCCUGAUGCAGCGACGCCGCGUGGGGGAUGACGGCCUUCGGGUUGUAAACUCCUUUCGCUAGGGACGAAGCGCAAGUGACGGUACCUGGAGAAGAAGCACCGGCUAACUACGUG
rnacentral:rRNA from 1 species